rnacentral:rRNA from 1 species
GACGAACGCUGGCGGCGUGCUUAACACAUGCAAGUCGAACGGAAAGGCCCUGCUUUUGUGGGGUGCUCGAGUGGCGAACGGGUGAGUAACACGUGAGUAACCUGCCCUUGACUUUGGGAUAACUUCAGGAAACUGGGGCUAAUACCGGAUAGGAGCUCCUGCUGCAUGGUGGGGGUUGGAAAGUUUCGGCGGUUGGGGAUGGACUCGCGGCUUAUCAGCUUGUUGGUGGGGUAGUGGCUUACCAAGGCUUUGACGGGUAGCCGGCCUGAGAGGGUGACCGGCCACAUUGGGACUGAGAUACGGCCCAGACUCCUACGGGAGGCAGCAGUGGGGAAUAUUGCACAAUGGGCGGAAGCCUGAUGCAGCAACGCCGCGUGCGGGAUGACGGCCUUCGGGUUGUAAACCGCUUUCGCCUGUGACGAAGCGUGAGUGACGGUAAUGGGUAAAGAAGCACCGGCUAACUACGUGCCAGCAGCCGCGGUGAUACGUAGGGUGCGAGCGUUGUCCGGAUUUAUUGGGCGUAAAGGGCUCGUAGGUGGUUGAUCGCGUCGGAAGUGUAAUCUUGGGGCUUAACCCUGAGCGUGCUUUCGAUACGGGUUGACUUGAGGAAGGUAGGGGAGAAUGGAAUUCCUGGUGGAGCGGUGGAAUGCGCAGAUAUCAGGAGGAACACCAGUGGCGAAGGCGGUUCUCUGGGCCUUUCCUGACGCUGAGGAGCGAAAGCGUGGGGAGCGAACAGGCUUAGAUACCCUGGUAGUCCACGCUGUAAACGGUGGGUACUAGGUGUGGGGUCCAUUCCACGGGUUCCGUGCCGUAGCUAACGCUUUAAGUACCCCGCCUGGGGAGUACGGCCGCAAGGCUAAAACUCAAAGGAAUUGACGGGGCCCCGCACAAGCGGCGGAGCAUGCGGAUUAAUUCGAUGCAACGCGUAGAACCUUACCUGGGUUUGACAUGGAUCGGGAGUGCUCAGAGAUGGGUGUGCCUCUUUUGGGGUCGGUUCACAGGUGGUGCAUGGCUGUCGUCAGCUCGUGUCGUGAGAUGUUGGGUUAAGUCCCGCAACGAGCGCAACCCUUGUUCACUGUUGCCAGCACGUUAUGGUGGGGACUCAGUGGAGACCGCCGGGGUCAACUCGGGGGAAGGUGGGGAUGACGUCAAGUCAUCAUGCCCCUUAUGUCCAGGGCUUCACGCAUGCUACAAUGGCUGGUACAGAGAGUGGCGAGCCUGUGAGGGUGAGCGAAUCUCGGAAAGCCGGUCUCAGUUCGGAUUGGGGUCUGCAACUCGACCUCAUGAAGUCGGAGUCCCUAGUAAUCGCAGAUCAGCAACGCUGCGGUGAAUACGUUCCCGGG